rnacentral:rRNA from 1 species
AGAGUUUGAUCCUGGCUCAGCGCGAACGUUGGCGGCGCGCCUAACACAUGCAAGUCGUGGGGCAGCAGGCUACUACCUUCGGGUAGUAGUGCUGGCGACCGGCAAACGGGUGAGUAACACGUAGCUUACCUACCCCAGGGUUGGGGAUAACCUCCCGAAAGGGUGGCUAAUACCCAAUAAUGAGGAAACUCCAAAGCCGCAAGGCGCCCUGGGAUGGGGCUGCGUCCCAUCAGGUAGUUGGUGAGGUAACGGCUCACCAAGCCUACGACGGGUAACUGGUCUGAGAGGAUGACCGGUCACAGUGGGACUGAGACACGGCCCGCACCCCUACGGGGGGCAGCAGUGGGGAAUAUUGGGCAAUGGCCGAAAGGCUGACCCAGCGACGCCGCGUGGCGGAUGAAGCCCUUCGGGGUGUAAACGCCUUUUCUUGGGGAAGACAAUGACGGUACCCAAGGAAAAAGGGACGGCUAACUACGUGCCAGCAGCCGCGGUAAUACGUAGGUCCCGAACGCUGCGCGAAAUUACUGGGCGUAAAGGGUCCGUAGGCGGUCUAUCAAGUGGAAGGUGAAAUCCCAUGGCUCAACCAUGGAACUGCCUUCCAAACUGAUAGACUUGAGGGCG